GAAAUAGCUACUCUCGAACUCAGACACUAUGGUUCGCGCCUCGUUCGCGCGCGCGUUGUGAGCAUUCAAGUUUCGUUUUUUGCACUUGCUUAGUAGCUGAAAUUGCGGACAUUGCAGGGUUGGGCUUGAUGACAUUUGUUGCUCAGCUGCCGCGACACAUUUGGAGCAAAGCUUCUGCUUAUUUCCUUUGGCCGCACCUUAUAUUUGUUGUCUUUGUCAACAUCUGACCUGUUUCUGCCUUGUUGAAAGCAAGUGGCCACAAGUACUGCUUAGUUUGCUCAGUCUAAACCUGGUAGUGCAUCCAGUUUAGCGCCGUGCACAUGUGUACGGACGCGUGCACGGACGUAACGCUGCUGCCCAUCGCGAGUCGUAAGCAAAAAAAAAAGGCCGACUGAAAAAAAACAACAAGAAAUAUAAUAAGCUGCACGAUCAACAGAUUUUUGAAGAGACCGUUUCAACAGAGAUAUCUGAAGCAGAUCGUUAUUGGAUAUGAAGAAAUGUGCAGUGGAUAACAGCAAAACAUGUGGUAACCGACUGACUGACGGUAGUAAGGCUCACAGCCUAAGUUUUUCACUAUUUACACCGAUAAUGUAGCACGUAUUUGCGCAAUUAAAUCACUUGCUAUGCGCAGCAACCGCAC